rnacentral:rRNA from 1 species
GCAUAUCAAUAAGCGGAGGAAAAGAAACCAACAGGGAUUGCCCCAGUAACGGCGAGUGAAGCGGCAACAGCUCAAAUUUGAAAUCUGGCCCCCCGGGCCCGAGUUGUAAUUUGAAGAGGAUGCUUCUGGCAAGGUGCCGUCCGAGUUCCCUGGAACGGGACGCCGCAGAGGGUGAGAGCCCCGUACGGUCGGACGCCGAGCCUCUGUGAAGCUCCUUCGACGAGUCGAGUAGUUUGGGAAUGCUGCUCAAAAUGGGAGGUAAACCCCUUCUAAAGCUAAAUACCGGCCAGAGACCGAUAGCGCACAAGUAGAGUGAUCGAAAGAUGAAAAGCACUUUGAAAAGAGAGUUAAAAAGCACGUGAAAUUGUUGAAAGGGAAGCGCUUGCGACCAGACUCGCGCCCGUCGGAUCAGCCGUCGCUCGUCGGCGGUGCACUCCGGCGGGCUCGGGCCAGCAUCAGUUCGCCUCGGGGGGAGAAAGGCGGCGGGAAUGUGGCUCUACGGAGUGUUAUAGCCCGCCGCGUAAUACCCCCGGGCGGACUGAGGACCGCGCGUAUGCAAGGAUGCUGGCGUAAUGGUCGUCAGCGACCCGUCUUGAAACACGGACCAAGGAGUCGUCCUAAUAUGCGAGUGUACGGGUGUCAAACCCCUGCGCGUAAUGAAAGUGAACGGAGGUGAGAGCUUCGGCGCAUCAUCGACCGAUCCUGAUGUUCUCGGAUGGAUUUGAGUAAGAGCAUAUUGGGCCGGACCCGAAAGAAGGUGAACUAUGCCUGUGUAGGGUAAAGCCAGAGGAAACUCUGGUGGAGGCUCGCAGCGGUUCUGACGUGCAAAUCGAUCGUCAAACAUGGGCAUGGGGGGCGAAAGACUAAUCGAACCUUCUAGUAGCUGGUUUCCGCCGAAGU